CUUUUAUUUAGGGUUUGCUUCUUUCUAUAUUUCUUCAAAUGAAUUUGUCUCCAGUCUCGAGUGAGCCGCAACCACCACAACCUCCGUAACCUCCGUAGCCGCCACCGUAGCCUCCACCUUCGUAGCUUCUUCCUCGCAGCCACCACCUCCAUAGCCAUAAGCUAUGUAGCUGCCUCCAUUGCAGAUUAGCAUCCAUGACCUCAACCUCAAGACCGCCAUAGCUAUCGGACGACAGCUCAAACUCCUAUCCACUGCCUCUCCCUCGUAUUCUCGCUGUCGUAGCCACCGUCUCCACCAUCGCGCCUCCCCCUCAAAUCCUCACCGUCGUAGCCACCGUUGCCACGCCCAGGCUCCAACUAUUGGAUGGGAGUAUUCCAGUUUUUUUAAUCCAAAAGUACCUUGUGCGGAAGUUGGACUUCAUGAGUGAUGAUGAGGACAACACAAUUUCCAAAUGGAAGACAAAAAAUUAAUUAAUGUGGAGCACUGAAGAGGAAGAUGUUCAUAAAUUCUCAGCAACGGCUAACAAAAAUAUGCCUUGGAGGAAGAUCUUAGACUUUGGUCGUCAUGUGUUUCAUCCAACCUGUAUCCCAGCUGAUCUCAAAGAUAAGUGGAGAACCAUG